CGCGAAUGGCUCAUUAUAACAGCUAUAAUUUACUUGAUCUUGACACAAUCCUACUUGGAUAACUGUGGUAAUUCUAGAGCUAAUACAUGCAUUAAAGCUCUGACCUCACGGGAAGAGUGCAUUUAUUAGAACAAAACCAAGCGGCUUCGGCUGUUUCUGGUUGACUCAUAGUAACUGAGCUGAUCGCAUGGUCUUGCACCGGCGACGUGUCUUUCAAGUAUCUGCCGUAUCAACUUUCGAUGGUAGUGUAUCUGACUACCAUGGUGAUCACGCGUAACGGAGAAUAAGGGUUCGGCUCCGGAGAGUUCGCCUGAGAAAUCGCGAACACAUCUAAGGAAGGCAGCAGGCGCGAAAAUUACCCACUCUCAGCACGAGGAGGUAGUGACGAAAAAUAACGAGACCGUUCCCUUAUGAGGCCGGUCAUCGGAAUGGGUACAAUUUAAACCCUUUAACGAGUAUCUAUGAGAGGGCAAGUCUGGUGCCAGCAGCCGCGGUAAUUCCAGCU
rnacentral:rRNA from 1 species